rnacentral:rRNA from 1 species
UACGUAGGUGGCAAGCGUUGUCCGGAAUUAUUGGGCGUAAAGCGCGCGCCGGCGGAUCAGUCAGUCUGUCUUAAAAGUUCGGGGCUUAACCCCGUGAGGGGAUGGAAACUGCUGAUCUAGAGUAUCGGAGAGGAAAGUGGAAUUCCUAGUGUAGCGGUGAAAUGCGUAGAUAUUAGGAGGAACACCAGUGGCGAAGGCGACUUUCUGGACGAAAACUGACGCUGAGGCGCGAAAGCGCGGGGAGCAAGCAGG